rnacentral:rRNA from 1 species
GAUGAAUGCUGGCGGCGUGCUUAACGCAUGCAAGUCGAACGAUGAAGCCCAGCUUGCUGGGUGGAUUAGUGGCGAACGGGUGAGUAACACGUGAGUAACCUGCCCUUGACUCUGGGAUAAGCCUGGGAAACUGGGUCUAAUACUGGAUAUGACUUCUCAUCGCAUGGUGGGGGGUGGAAAGAUUUAUUGGUCUUGGAUGGACUCGCGGCCUAUCAGCUUGUUGGUGAGGUAGUGGCUCACCAAGGCGACGACGGGUAGCCGGCCUGAGAGGGUGACCGGCCACACUGGGACUGAGACACGGCCCAGACUCCUACGGGAGGCAGCAGUGGGGAAUAUUGCACAAUGGGCGGAAGCCUGAUGCAGCGACGCCGCGUGAGGGAUGACGGCCUUCGGGUUGUAAACCUCUUUCAGUAGGGAAGAAGCGAGAGUGACGGUACCUGCAGAAGAAGCGCCGGCUAACUACGUG